GAUGAAGAACGCAGCGAAAUGCGAUAAGUAAUGUGAAUUGCAGAAUUCAGUGAAUCAUCGAAUCUUUGAACGCACAUUGCGCCCGCCAGUAUUCUGGCGGGCAUGCCUGUUCGAGCGUCAUUUCAACCAUCAAGCCCCAGGCUUGUGUUGGGGACCUGCGGCUGCCGCAGGCCCUGAAAACCAGUGGCGGGCUCGCUGUCACACCGGGCGUAGUAGAUUUUAUCUCGCUCAGGGCGUGCUGCGGGUUCCGGCCGUUAAAAAGCCUUUUUUACCCGAGGUUGACCUCGGAUCAGGUAGGAAGACCCGCUGAACUUAAGCAUAUCAAUAAGCGGAGGA
rnacentral:misc_RNA from 1 species